rnacentral:rRNA from 1 species
ACUCCUGCCGAUGGAUAUCUUGGCUCUCGCAACGAUGAAGAACGCAGCGAAAUGCGAUACGUAGUGCGAAUUGCAGAAUUCAGUGAAUCAUCGAACCUUUGAACGCAAAUGGCGCAUCCGGGCUCCGCUCGGACGCAUGUCUCUUCGAGGGGCGCCUCCAUCCUCCUCGGAGCGAGAGAGCUCUCUCUCUCGUCUCCGGAGCCGGCGGCCGCGCGGGGGAGCCUCGGCCCCCUCGCGCGCCCGCCCAAGGCUGCCUUGCGAGCGCGGCGGCGGCGUCUAACCCGCGUCCCCGCCGGAGUGCUAAGUCCACGACUAGACCUCUGGUGGACGCGUGCCCCGUUCUGCCUCGCGACCCCCGGCGUGCGCGGUGCCUCUCCUCUCCUCCGGGAGAGCGAGGCCCGCCCGCCCCGGCGCGCGGCCGCUCUCUGUGCGGCCGCGCGCCUCGAAACCCGCCAUCGAAUGAGGCAAGACUACCCGCUGAACUUAAGCAUAUCACUAAGCGGAGGAGAAGAAACUAACCAGGAUGCCCCUAGUAAUGGCGAAUGAAGCGGGCUGAGCUCACGCUGCCAAUCUGGAGGCCUCGCGUAUGCAGCGCCCCCCGAAUUGUGGUCUAGAGAGGCGUUAUCGGCCGCGCCCGCUGCUCAAGUCCCUUGGAACAGGGUGUCGGAGAGGGUGAGAAUCCCGUACCGUGGCGGGUUGCGGCCUUACGAUGCGUCCUCGUCGAGUCGGGUUGCUUGGGAUUGCAGCUUGAAUUGGGUGGUAAAUUCCAUCUAAAGCUAAAUACUGGCGAGAGACCGAUAGCGAACAAGUACCGUGAGGGAAAGAUGCAAAGAACUUUGAAAAGAGAGUCAAAGAGUGCUUGAAAUCGGUAGGAGGAAACCCGGAUGGGCCCGGCUUCGGCGCGCCGACUCAGCCUGGGGUUCUCCCCAGGUGCACUUCUGCGCGCCGGGUCAGCCGCGCCUCGGCGCCGCGCCUCAACCCGGGAGCGGGGCUUUACGGCCAGCUCCCGUCCUGGCGCGGCCCGGGGCCCGGCUGACGGAACGGGCCCCUCCGACCCGUCUAGAAACACGGACCAAGGAGUCUGACACGUGUGCGAGUACCCGGGUGGCAAGCCCGCGUGCGGAAUGAAAGUGAAGGGCAUGCCCUGCCAACCGACCUUGACCUGCUGUGAGGGGUUUGAGUGGAGCACACCUGUCGGGACCCGAAAGAUGGUGAACUAUGCCUGGGUAGGGUGAAGCCAGAGGAAACUCUGGUGGAGGCUCGUAGCGAUACUGACGUGCAAAUCGUUCGUCGAAUCUGGGUAUAGGGGCGAAAGACUAAUCGAACCAUCUAGUAGCUGGUUCCCUCCGAAGUUUCCCUCAGGAUAGCUUGAACGCAACGGUUUUGUCAGGUAAAGCGAAUGAUUAGAGGCCUGUGGGCUGAAACAGCUUGCACCUAUUCUCAAACUUUAAAUGGGCAAGAGGCCCGGGAUGCUUGAGUGAUCCCGGGCGGCGAACGGCGCGUUCAAAGUGGGCCAUUUUUGGUAAGCAGAACUGGCGAUGCGGGAUGAACCGAACGCCGCGCUAAGGUACCCAAGUGUCCGCUCAUCAGAUACCACAAAAGGCGUUGGUACCUCCAGACAGCAGGACGGUGGCCAUGGAAGUCGGAACCCGCUAAGGAGUGUGUAACAACUCACCUGCCGAAGGUACUAGCCCUGAAAAUGGAUGGCGCUCAAGCGGACCACCGAUGCGCGGCCGCCGGCGCGAGCGCGAGGCGCCGGCGAGUAGGAGGGCGCGGGGCUCGCGGCGCAGCCUUGGGCGCGAGCCUGGGUGAAGCGGGCCCCGGUGCAGAUCUUGGUGGUAGUAGCAAAUAUUCAAAUGAGAACUUUGAAGACUGAAGUGGAGAAAGGUUCCGUGUGAACAGCAGUUGGACACGGGUGAGCCGACCCUAAGAGACAGGAAAACUCCGCCGAACGCGGCUGGUUCUGUCAGCCCGUCCGUCGAAAGGGAAUCGGGUUAAUAUUCCCGAGCCAGCGCGUGGAUGGUGGGCGGCGACGCGAACGAACCCGGAGACGCCGGCGGGAGCCCUGGGAAGAGUUCUCUUUUCUUCUUAACUGCCUCCUGCCCUGGAAUCGGUUUAGCCGGAGCGAGGGCUACACGGCAGGCAAAGCACCCUAAGUCUUGGGGUGUCCGGCGCGCUCCCGACGGCCCGUGAAAAUCCGGGGGAGCGGUUCGUUCUCACGCCUGGUCGUACUCAUAACCGCAUCAGGUCUCCAAGGUGAACAGCCUCUAGUCGAUAGAGCAAUGUAGGUAAGGGAAGUCGGCAAAAUGGUUCCGCAACCUCGGGAGAAGGAAUGGCUCUGAAGGCUGGGCGCAGGGGUCCUAGGCUCGAGGCCGGCUGGCUGCGCGGGGACUACGGCCUCACGGCUGCGGAUCCCGCGCGGCCGUCCGGCGGACGGCCUAGGAGCGCUCCGGCUCUCCCUGCGCGACGAACAGCCGCUUCAGAACUGGCGCGGACAAGGGGAAUCCGACUGUUUAAUUAAAACAAAGCAUUGCGAUGGCCCGCGAGGGUGCUGACGCAAUGUGAUUUCUGCCCAGUGCUCUGAAUGUCAAAGUGAAGAAAUUCAACCAAGCGCGGGUAAACGGCGGGAGUAACUAUGACUCUCUUAAGGUAGCCAAAUGCCUCGUCAUCCAAUUAGUGACGCGCAUGAAUGGAUUCGUGAGAUUCCCACUGUCCCUAUCUACUGUCUAGCGAAACCACAGCCAAGGGAACGGGCUUGGAAGAAUCAGCGGGGAAAGAAGACCCUGUUGAGCUUGACUCUAGUCUGUUACUGUGGAACGACUUGAUGGGUGUAGAAUAUGCGGGAGGGGCAACCCGACAGUGAAAUACCGCAACCGUCAACGUUGUUUUACUUACUCGGUGGCGCGGAGGGAGGCUCGCCUCACUUCUGGAUCCAAGCCGCUUCGUGCGCGCGAUCCGCGUCGGGGACACUAACAGGUGGGGAGUUUGGCUGGGGCGGCACGUCUGUUAAAAAAUAACGCAGGCGCCCGAUUUUGAGCUCAAUGAGAACAGAAAUCUCAUGUGGACCGAAAGGGGAAAAGCUCGGUUGAUUUUGAUUUUCAGUACGAAUACAAACCGCGAAAGCGUGGCCUAUCGAUCCUCUCGUCUUUGGGAAUUUCAAGCUAGAGGUGUCAGAAAAGUUACCACAGGGAUAACUGGCUUGUGGCUGCCAAGCGUUCAUAGCGACGUAGCUUUUUGAUCCUUCGAUGUCGGCUCUUCCUAUCACUGCCUCGCAGCGGGGGCCAAAUGCAGGAUUGUUCACCCACCAACAGGGAACGUGAGCUGGGUUUAGACCGUCGUGAGACAGGUUAGUUUUACCCUACUGCUGUCUGUUUUUCUACGGUAAUUUGGUUCAGUACGAGAGGAACCACCAAUUCGCAUCAUCGGUAUAGCCGCCGCCGGAAACGGCGAUGCGGCGAAGCUGCCAUGCGCCGGAUUAUAACUGAACGCCUCUAAGUUAGAAUCCAUGCCGGAAGGAAAGCCACCUACCGGCCCGGGGACGCCACGAGCAACGGUAGCACUGCCUGAGCCGCGAGCGACCACAAUUCACGGACCCGGGCCGACGAAUCCCUUGCAGACGACUUGAAUAAGGAACGGGGUAUUGUACGCGGCAGAGUGGCCUUGUUGCCACGAUCCGCUGAGAUUCAGCCUUGGUUCUGACGAUUUGUUGCGCGCGCGCAACAACCCUCAGGGCCUCUCCCGUUCCUCAGUCGCUCUCUCGGCGCUCUCCCCCUCUCGCCUCUCCUCCGAGCCUCACUCGCUCGGGGGCGGAGCCGAGGGGGCGAGAGCGCGAUUUCUGCCCAAGGCAGCGCGCAGGCCACUGCGCAGACACACCCGGCUCUCCCCGAGCCGCCACUGGGCGCUCCCGCGGUCCCCUCCGGGCUGAAUGCGGCCUCCGGAGCGGGCGGCGCGAGCGUCUAAGUCUACUCAGAGCCUUCCACGCUCUUCUUUGCGUUCCGAAGCACACACCGCGCUCCUCUGUAGUGCAUCGCCCGGCCAACUCGCUUGCCACUGUCAUUGCCCCCGCCGCCCUCUCACUGUGGCCGCCCUGUACCGUUACCUCCACCGCCCUCGCCCUCGCCACCGCCCCCACGCCGCCGCUACCAUUCCGGCCAUCGCCGCCCCCACCCUCAUCCCCACCUUGCCCCCGCCGCCCGUUGCAGCUGCAAUCCCCACCGAAGGCGGACGCCGGUGCCGCCCUCGAGCUCGACGCCCCUUCGUGCUUCGCCGCCCGGCGCGGUCCCAUCCGGGCUGAAUGCGGCCUCCAAUCUCGUGUCGGCCUGCCGCCGCCCUCGCCUUCAGCCGUCCCGCCACCCUCACCGCCACAGCCCUCCUCACCACCGUCUCCACCGCCGCUGCUCUCACCACCCUCGCCACCACCACCACGCCCGCCUCCCUCGCUGCCACCCACGCCGCCGCCACCGCCCCCACCCGCUCCGCUGCCCUCGCCCUUGCCGUCACCGCGCCGCGAGAUCUCUUACACUAUCCCCCGCCCUUGCCCCAGCCCUUGCCUGCCGCCGCCCUCGCCGCCGCCCUCGCCGCCGCCCUCGCCGCCCCCCUCGCCGCCGGGGCCCGCCCUCGCAGCCACGGCACCCUUGCCCCCUCCACCCUCCUCUCCGCCACAGCUNNNNNNNNNNNNNNNNNNNNNNNNNNNNNNNNNNNNNNNNNNNNNNNNNNNNNNNNNNNNNNNNNNNNNNNNNNNNNNNNNNNNNNNNNNNNNNNNNNNNUCAUCCCCACCAUCGGUUCUAACUUCUACUCAACUGCGACUACUUUACUCUAUGCGCCGAGAGAGGACGAAUAUCUCUCGAAAAACGAUACGGGGUGUGGAGGGUGAGUUGACCAGGGGUUGUGCGCUGGGCCCUCCUGCUCGGCUCCAGCCAGUAGACAAGUCUUGUCAUCAACAGAGUAGAUGGAUCUGACCUCAGGGCCGAUGUGACCAAGCGCUGGUAGCGUGGUUUAACCUUACACCCAUGAUCUCACAGUGUGCCGGCAGUCGCCGAGCAGUGUCGCUCACACAAGCCGCAGCACAAGUGACUGAGGGCCAGUGAGGGCGAGCCCAUCGCUGUCACAGCUGUGGCAGCCGCACAGUAGGCUGUGUCAACUGUGCAGAGUGUGUGAGCAGCAGAGGAGCUGCUCUCCAGGCUUCAGGCGCAAAGAGCUGCAUGCCACCGAAGGCGCUGUCGAGGUUCGCCGAGCGCGGCGCAGUUGGAGGAAGCCGCCGCCGACGAGCGUAGAGCGCUGGUCGGAUUCACUCGCCGCGGGGACACGACCCAUAGCCGUGGCCGUGUCCCCGUGAUGGCCGCGAGGCGCGGGACCGUCUGUGGCGAAGUGGGUCGCGUCCUCCGAUUUCCGUGAACUCACUACUCAGCAACCACACCCUCUUCUAUCUCUUAACCCUGGUAGGUGGAUUGUCCAAAAUACGUCAGCCUCGCACGCCUAGCGCUAGGUCUGACACCCGACCGCCCCCCCCUCCCUAAUAUUAACCGGUCAGAGUACAUUUUGGCCGGCUAAUGUUAGGGAGGGGAGGCCCAAAAAUGCAUAUUUUUGUCCACCUACCAGGGUUAAUCAGCUGGACCGAAUUUUACCAAGUUGGACGCCGUUGGACGUAGCUCUUUGUGUUGCGAUGCUUCCUGGCGAGAGAGUGCUGGGCUUUCCGGCCCACACUCGGCUCUUGAGGCAUUUAUCGGCAUCUUAAUAUGCCGUAGGGACACACAGCAAGGAGUAGUGUCUACGCGCGCACACGCCCGAGUGCCAAUUUGGCUACGGGUUAGGGUUGCGUUGUCCUAACGCCUCCGUCCGUCCUGGACGGGCGUUGGCGCGUGCAUAUCCCACCGCUAGCUAGCGACACUAUUGCUAAUGCUGGCCUCGUCCCCUCAAUCAAGUCGAGCAGCUUGGCCUUGCCAUACGGUUCGACUGCUCAGACAUUGGAGGAGACAAGGGGAUGGUGGUGGGUAGAAGAAUGCGGAACGAGCAGCCAGAAGCAGUCGCGCGAGUCAGAGUCGGGCACGAGACGUCGAGCAUUGAAACCAUCCGUAAAGGUUUCGUGCGACCGUCCCCAGUACAGGAUUCCCCUGUACAGGGUGUGAACAUCGUGCACUCGAUGGUUUUCCCCGGCCCAUGCCGGGUACUCUCCAGUCGAAUCUGACGUUUGGCUACACUAGUAGAGCCGUGGGCUCAUUUCACGUAGCUCUUUGUGUUGCGAUGCUUCCUGGCGAGAGAGUGCUGGGCUUUCCGGCCCACACUCGGCUCUUGAGGCAUUUAUCGGCAUCUUAAUAUGCCGUAGGGACACACAGCAAGGAGUAGUGUCUACGCGCGCACACGCCCGAGUGCCAAUUUGGCUACGGGUUAGGGUUGCGUUGUCCUAACGCCUCCGUCCGUCCUGGACGGGCGUUGGCGCGUGCAUAUCCCUUCCGGUGCUUGCGUGACGCCCAGCGACUACCGCGCUCCGGCAUCCUUGCAUGUCCCUACUGGGUGGGUGGGUCGUGGCCCGCGCGCCAUCGCGCGGGAUUAUUGCGCCUCUCGCUCCCUCGAGCGGGCGCCCCCCCUUUUCCCAUUACGGGCCCGUCGCGCUCCGCGCACCAGGACAGGCCCAUAUUCCACGCCCCUCGGCGUUACGCCAUCUCAUGGCCUUACUGGUAGUACCUAGCUCUCCCUCGAGCUACACUACCUCGUGCUCCGCACGACCUCGCGCUCCGCACGAGUAACCACACCACGCCCGCCUCUCCGGACGGCACAUGCCCUUGCGGGUGUGGAGUGCAUAUACCGUGCACUGUCCGCCCUUCCCGCGUCGUGCCGCCAGUGGCCCGUGUCGCGGUAUGAAGGGAGAUGGACCAGAGGUGGGCGCUCCGGCCGUCCCUCCUGGCCAGCGCCACCAUAGCGCUGGCACCCAGCCGUCGGCCCCCGAGGGCGUCGGGCGACGACUAGCCUCUCCGGGCUCGCUGUCUGUCGCCCACCCUUCCGCGCCGAAGCCCGUACUCGUGUGACGAGACCGUGCGACGCCGGCUCCAUGCCAGCGCCGCAAUGGAGUUGGGCGCUCCGGCCGUCCCUCCAGGCCAGCCUCACCGCUGGGCCCCGGCCGUCGGCCCCUCGUGCGGGCGUCGGGCUACAGCUAACCUCUCCGGGCUCGCUGUCUGUCGCCCACCCUUCCGCGCCGAAGCACGUACUCGUGU